rnacentral:rRNA from 1 species
ACGCUCGACACCUACGGGAGGCAGCAGUGGGAAUAUUGCACAAUGGGGGAAACCCUGAUGCAGCGACGCCGCGUGAAGGAAGAAGUAUUUCGGUAUGUAAACUUCUAUCAGCAGGGAAGAAAAUGACGGUACCUGACUAAGAAGCCCCGGCUAACUACGUACCAGCAGCCGCGGUAAUCUGAGCGGGCUGGCAAGGC